AGGGGAUAAAGCGGGAAAAAGCGCGCUUCCUUUUGCGGUUGCCGCUCACCCUUUAUUUGCAAGCAUUCUCCAGGAUCCGUGUCAGGAUGGGAGUUAUAACCUACCUGGCCGAAUGACUGCAAGGAUUAAAUGAGAUGUCACAGGAAGACCUGACCUAUGGUCCUAGCACAGAGCUUCUCAAAGAGUUUUGGGGACUUCCUGGUGGUCCAGUAGCUAAGACUCCCCACUCCCAAUGCAAGGAGUCCGAGUUCGAUCCCUGGUCAGGGAACUAGAUCCCACAUGACAUCCCACAAGAACCAGCAUGCCUCAAUGAUGAGCGAAGAUCCUGCAUGCUGCAACUGAGACCUUGUGCAGCC